GAUGAACGCUGGCGGCGUGCCUAAUACAUGCAAGUCGAGCGAAUGGAUUAAGAGCUUGCUCUUAUGAAGUUAGCGGCGGACGGGUGAGUAACACGUGGGUAACCUGCCCAUAAGACUGGGAUAACUCCGGGAAACCGGGGCUAAUACCGGAUAACAUUUUGAACCGCCUGGUGCGAAAUUGAAAGGCGGCUUCGGCUGUCACUUAUGGAUGGACCCGCGUCGUAUUAGCUAGUUGGUGAGGUAACGGCUCACCAAGGCAACGAUGCGUAGCCGACCUGAGAGGGUGAUCGGCCACACUGGGACUGAGACACGGCCCAGACUCCUACGGGAGGCAGCAGUAGGGAAUCUUCCGCAAUGGACGAAAGUCUGACGGAGCAACGCCGCGUGAGUGAUGAAGGCUUUCGGGUCGUAAAACUCUGUUGUUAGGGAAGAACAAGUGCUAGUUGAAUAAGCUGGCACCUUGACGGUACCUAACCAGAAAGCCACGGCUAACUACGUGCCAGCAGCCGCGGUAA
rnacentral:rRNA from 1 species